CCUACGGGGGGCUGCAGUCGAGGAUCUUCGGCAAUGGGCGCAAGCCUGACCGAGCGACGCCGCGUGUGCGACGAAGGCCUUCGGGUUGUAAAGCACUGUCGGGGGGGAGAAAGGCCCACAAGGCUUGAUCGACCCCCGGAGGAAGCACGGGCUAAGUUCGUGCCAGCAGCCGCGGUAAGACGAACCGUGCGAACGUUAUUCGGAAUCACUGGGCUUAAAGGGCGCGUAGGCGGGUCCGCGAGUCAGGGGUGAAAUCCCCCAGCUCAACUGGGGAAGGGCCUCUGAGACCGCGGAUCUCGAGGGGGGUAGGGGCAGCUGGAACUUCCGGUGGAGCGGUGAAAUGCGUAGAGAUCGGAAGGAACGCCGGUGGCGAAAGCGAGCUGCUGGACCCCAACUGACGCUGAGGCGCGAAAGCCAGGGGAGCGAACGGGAUUAGAUAC
rnacentral:rRNA from 1 species